GCUUGCUUCAGCCACACAGAUACUUAAGUUGGAACUAUACAGAGAAGAUAAGCAUGACCCCUACGCAAAUAUGACAAUCGAAUGCAUGAAGAAUGAAAUUGGACU